rnacentral:lncRNA from 1 species
CUCAGCUACUUUGCUUUGGGAGUGCCAUCUGGCCAGACUAAUAAAGGUCUGUUUUACUUUCCAACUUGACCGGUGUGUUCCUUCCCGGGUGAUCGUCGCUGUAGUUAGCUCCUCAGAGCGUUUGGUAAGGCCCCCGGUCUUGCACUUGCACCAGUCUACACUCCCACCAGCAGUGGAGCAGGGUUCCUCUUUCCCCACAGCCCUGCCAGCAUUUGUUAUUGGUUGAUUUCAUGAUAGCAGCCAUUCUUUCUGGAGUGAAGUGGAAUCUCAGCUUUGUUUUCAUUUGCAUCUCUCGAAUGGCCAGUGAUGUUGAACAUUUUUUCAUGUAUUUAUUUGCUAUUUCUACUUCUUUGUCUGAGAAAUGUCUUUUCAUUUCAGAUGCCCAUUUUUGGAUUGGGUCUUUAAAUUUGGGAGGUCUGAUCUUUUUAAGUUCUUUAUAGAUUUGAGAUAGUAGACCUUUGUCUGAGGAAGAGCAGGUGAAGAUUUUUUCCCACAUUGUGGGUUGUCUCUUCACACUGCUGGUGGUUUCUCUUGCUGUGCAGAAGUCUUUUAAUAAGAAGAGAACCCAUUUGUUGAUUGUUUGUGCUAGUUCACGGGCAACUGAGGUUUUGUUCAUAAAAUCUUUUCCUACACCAAUGUCUUCAAGGGUUCUGCCUAACCUCUGUUCCAACUGGUUCAGAGUUUCUAUUUUAAUAUUUAGAUCUUUAAUCCAUUUUUAUUUUAGUUUAAUGCAUGGUGAGAGAUACAGGUCUAGUUUUAAUCUUUGGCAAGUUGAAGGCCAAUUUUUCUAGCACCAUUUAUUAAAGAGGCUAUCUUUCCUCCAGUGAGGGUGUUUGGCUCCUUUGUCGAAGAUGAGAUGGCUGAGUGUGUCUGGCGUUGUUUCUGCAUCUUCUAGUCUGUUCCAUUGGUCCUCAAGUCUGUUUCUUUGCCAGUACCAUGCUGUUUUUAUCACAGUAGCUUUGUAGAAUAGUUGCAGGUUGGGGAUUGUGAUACCCCCUGUCAUGUCUCUGUUACCUAGAAUUGCUUUUGCUAUUCUGGGUCUCUUCUUGUUCCAAAUGAAUUUUUGGAUUGUUUUCUCGAGGUCUAUGAAGUAUGGUGCUGAGAUCUCAAUUGGAAUUGCAUUAAAUCUAUAUAGCAGUUUUGGAAGUAUGGCCAUUUUCACUAUAUUAAUCCUUCCUACCCAGGAGCAGGGGAUGUCUGUCCAUUUUCUG